AUUUAUUUCCCAUUCUGGGAUAUUUCUUUGUUUUAGACGGAACCUCAAAUGUGGAGGAAAAAUCCAGUGAUGAAUUUGCCCAUGACAGUGUGGCCGGUGGGGAGGAGUACCAGGAUGUGGGUGAUGAGAUUGGUACAAAACAUGACAUGGUGGAUAUCACGUACCAAGAUAUUCUGGUGAGCUGU